CAUAGUUUCGAAUCAACAAAUGGCCGACGAUGGCAACAACACAUCACAGUUUGGCAGUUUUGACAAAUGCAUGUGUUAAACCCCCGAUUGAUCCUAAAACAGGAUUAUCUACAUCUUUAAAUGAGAGAACUCUUUCGUCUCUCAUGCACUAUGGGGAUGAAUAUGGAGAAGAAAAGGAUGAAAUGUUCGAUGAUGAGGGACGGACCCGUUUUGAGAAUUUGUCCGGUCUUGUCCUAUCGGAUCCCGCCAACAAAGCUAUUCCGACGGAAUUGAACAAUUUAACAGAUGACGAAUUUUAUGAAAAGCUUAUACAGUUAAAAAGGGAACAUAAGAAAACUCUUGCAAUAUGUGAAAAAUUGUAUAAACGAAAGGUAGGCGUUGAGCAGAGCAACACCCAAAAUGGUUUUGUUUCUGAAGCAAACUUUGGCACAGUGCCAAGUGAUUUUGCAAAUCAAGAGAUCCAUUCAACAUUACAUAAUUCACCAUUAAAUGGUUUUCGAAAUCAUGAUCAGAGUAAUCGAAGUUCUUUUGGAGAAUCUUCACACAAGCCACCUACAGGUCGACCACCCCCAUCUCCAGGAGCAAGAACUAUGCCUUCCGCCGGAUUGAGGACUAUGCCAGUUGACAGAACGUUCGCCACAAAAACAAGGCCAAGUUCAGCACCAACAAGAGGUGGGUCACUAAGCCUUGCACGUAGCUUAGAAGAGGAAGUUUGGCUGAAAAUCGCAGCAGAAAGAAAAGCAGGAAGAGAAGCAGAAGAUAAUGAGCCUGUUGAAAGGUAUGAACAAACCCAAUCAGAAACAUAUGAAAGUCCAGAAUUAACAACUGCUAUGGCAGACAUUGAUGACAUGUGGGAUAAUUUUUCAAUAGAAGAAUACGCACCAAGACCUGAAAGACCAUCUUCAGCUACUAUCACCCGCAAGGAAAAAGCAGAAAAACAGUGGAGGCAUAGAAUCACCAUUCCAAAGCCUUUUAAAAUGACUAUUCGUGAAAUGAACAAAGAAAAGAAGAUAACCGAGGUACAAAAAGAAUUUGAAGAAAAGUUACAGCAGAAGUACAAAGAAGAAGAGAUGGAAUGUCAAAAGAAAUUCAAAGCUGCACCAGUGCCAGCACAUGUAUAUUUACCAAUGUAUGAUGAAAUUGCAGAAAAGAAUGAAGCCCGUAGGCGAUACAUACGAGAUUACAGCAAGGAAUUACUCAAAUCACAAGAAAAACCAUUCAACUUUACAAAAAGGGAAGCAGACAAAAAGAAACACAGGCGAGUGAAAUCGGCACCAAUAUCAGAUGAUGGUGUGAGGAAAUCCAGUACAUUCAAAGCUCAGCCUGUGCCAGUAUCUGUCCUUGAUGACAGUGUAAAUGAUAAAAUCAUGGAAGAAGAAGAGUACAGAAAAAUAAGAAUAAAAAUGCGAUCAGAAGAACUCUUAAACGCUGCAUCAUUGCCUCCAAAUAUGGAAGCAAGAAAACAAUAUGACCAAAAUAAAAAACGUGACAAACAAGUUAAGAACAAAAGAAAAGCUCGGUUCCAGCCAAAAGUGAAUCAUGAUGUGCCAGACUAUGAUGAACUUUAUAGACAUUUUCAAAAGGAAUUAGCACGACGCAAACGUGAGAGAGAGUCAACAGUAGUGAGGCCUUUCCAACUCAACACAAUGCACCUACAGUCAACCAGGGACAGGAUUGUCAAAGACAUAGAGAGGGAUGAGGAAAACAUGAAGGAGAACAGAUGGCCAUACAAGAACCCACGUGUCACACCAAGAAGUUUAGGUACUCUGUCCACUUCACUUGACUCCAUCCCAGCAAAGACCACUGCAUCAGCUGACCUUAGGAAUAGGCAUACAAGGAAGAAGCUUCAGGAUAUGACCAAGCAAGAACGUGAACAUCUAGAGACAGAUAGAAAGAAAAGGAUACAGGAAAUGAGACUGAGGUCACAGAUCAUAUCCAAAACGAGAGAUGGGGAAAAUGGACGCACUCUGGAGGAUACGUACAGGCAAAAACUCCGGACAUUCAGAAAUGAUGACCGUGAUAGAAAAGAUGAAUACCAGAAAAGUUUGCAGGAAAUGCAAGAGCGUGUGAACAAGCGACCUUUGUUGUUUCAACAAGAGAGUCAGGUGAAUGCUAAGGCAACUGCAGAGAAGAAGUUUGCCACAACUUUAAAAAAUCAUGGAAUCGAUGAGGACUUUGUACAGAGUCGCAGCUCUCGAGCAGCCAGUGUUGUAAACGAUGAUGGUGAGGAAAAUUACGAGGAUGACUUUGAUGCAACAUAUGCCAAAUCACCCGACGAUGAAAUGUAUGAUGAUGAUUAUGAAGAUGAAGCAUGAGGAUUUUCUAUGACUGUUUUUAAAUAGCUUUAAGAGACAAAAACUACAACACGGGAAACAAUUAACUUCUGUAAAUGUAAAGAUUGCCACAAAGGUGUUAAGAUCAUGUACUCACAGAAACUGAUAUAUAAAUGUUUCAAGGUAAUACCUGGUGCCGCACAACAAGGAGCUGCUGCUGACAGUUGAUACUUAUAUCGUCAGCAAUCUUAAUGCAUAUCUGAAAACAAGCAUUUCCAGAUGUUUAGGGAUAGUUUAGAACAAAUAUAUAACAAUUCUAUAUUUACCCAAAGAUUUUUAACAAGAUAUUUUUAUCAUAGCAAGUGGUUCUUGUACUACAAGAGGUAGUCAUGAAGCCACACUUGAUUAUCAUGUUAGCACGCGUAAUGGCUAGUCACCUGUAGUACCAUAGGCAUUCUUCUGUUACAUUAGAUGCUCAUUUUAUUCAGUGUAUUUGUCUUUUGUAUUAUGUUUUACGAGAACAAUGCUUAUAUUUAUUUUAAGGACACAACAUGAUCAGAUUUGAAUCUUUAUAGAAUCUCAAUCAAACACACUAAUGACCUAAUGAUACAGUAUUCAACCUGGCAGUCAUUCUUUAUUGUGACAUACUAUAUGUACCACUUUUAUUGAUACCACUGCAGGUCUCUUUACUAUGACAUAAUAGUUAGUAGGUAUACAUAUAUAUUAUAUACCAUCUAUACUUCUCAAGUAAGAAUACCUUCAUCAUUGUAACAACUCAUCACUAGACUAUUAAGAUGUUCUACAUUGUUUUCCAAUUGUGUAGAGCCGUUUAGGUGGUUUGGUCUGGGUUGAUACGUAUAGUACAGAGGAGAAACACCAGGUUGAAUACUGUACAGGUAAGCUUGCAUUCACUGUUCAGUACAGCGCUGUAGCUGCUUCAGUGUAUUAUCAGUAGCUACAGGUAUUAUAAGUCAUUUUAUUUUGUAAGUCUGUAUAUAUUUCUUUAAUCUACAUUGGUUGUUUGUUAUUCAUAUAAAUUCAACUUGACCUAGUCUUAUGUAUUAACCUGUAACACUUUCUGUAGAUGAUUCCCCGUUUUCCAAAUCUCCUGCAGGGUAAUCCAUGCCGUAUGUGGACCUUCUCUUCUCUGUAUCAUAUCCUGUCACUGGUCAUACCAAAGCUCACGCAGGGAGGGAAGGUUAUUGGUUAAAAGUACAACGAAAGAUUUGAAAGAUAAAUUGAUAUUUAUUUGUAGGGUAUAAAAAUGGGAGAAUCUUGGAGUGAACUAACAAUGUAGAUUUUUAAAGUAUUAGCUAGUGAUGGAGAUAUAAAAAACAAGACUGUACCGGGUAAUUUAUGUAAAUGUGUUCUGUUCUACAGUUUUAUUAUAAUUCCAUGCUAUUUUGGGCUAUUUAUCUGUAGUCUUUCAAAUGCUAUUUCAAUCAGUUCUCUGAGUUUUUAUAAAAUUGUUCUGUUUCACAAUUCGGGUACUUUAAUUUCUUCUGCAUUCCAUAUGAAUUAUACUAUAUGUAUAGUCAAUAAGAAUCCAUUAAGGAUGCAUGUACCACCAAGUUACAAUAUCUCUCUAUGUUCAUGCAAAACAUGUCUAUCUUAAGUAGAGGUUGGAAAUUGUCAAAUUAAUGACAGAACGAAGCUGUUACACUUAUGACAUAUUUUUAUUUUUUAAGUUAUCCUAACGCUAUGACUAUAUGUUUGAUGUCAAUGCAUAUAUCUGUUCAUUGUUCAUAAGUGUUCACUGUAUUUUUGGUGUAUAGAAUUAAUUAUAAAUAAAUUUAAUGAAUUGAUGAUAAAAACAUACAGUAAUAUAAAAUGAUGAGUAGACAAUAGAACAUCUCUGACAUAAAAACCUGGAAAUAUUGAGAUUUUGUAGAUACCAGUCUGUGCAGUGGGACACCCAUCCUUAAACUAGAAAAUGACACAUCAGCUUUUCAUAUUUCUUAUAAUUAUGUGCUUACCAAAUGUUUUUUUUUUUUUUAAAUCCGUCCAUAUAAUAAUGAUAUUAAUGUUAUAGUUGUCAUCAUGGAUGCAACAGGUUAGCUUUUAUAAAAAAAGAAAGAGAAACCUUUAUGCUUGUCAUGUUUGUUCUUCAUUCUUAUUUUGACCUCAUUCAUGUUAAUAUCAUGGUACAAAAAUGUGUACCAGUAUAAUAAUAUACAUACUUGGUAGUUAUAGAAUACAAUAUUUGGACAUUUAUAAAAUAGGUCGCAGUUCACAGAAGAGUACACCUGCUUGUAUCUAGGUAAUUUUGUAUACAUUCUAGGCCUUCAGAUCCAGUAACUUAUACAUGGAUGUUAAUCCAUUUUGGUGCAGUAGUCUGGAAGUCUUCACACACAACUCUGUAACUGAAAUAACCACUGGACAGAACUGCAAAAAAUGUGCCCUCAUUUUUGCAAUCCUUUUUUUUUAUCUUUUAAAAUUUUCACCAGCCAUUGAUUGGCAAUAAAGAAACUAUCAUUCUCUUGAGAGCCAGCAAUAUCCCCAUUACCAUCUCUUACCCUGAUGUAUUGGGAACUUUUUUGUACUUCACCUUUACAGAAUUGCCUUCCUCAUCAGCUUAUAUUCAUGUGUGCUUGCAGAAAAUGAAUUGCAUCUUUGUUUUGAUUUUCUUAUUUAGAAAAUAUAAACACACGAAUAGGCAAGUGUUUCCCUGCAAGUGUUUCACAGAAAAAUAAAGGAAAAAAGAUUUUUUUCCAUUUAAUGUCUAUGGCCACCGGAGAUACUAAUUAGGAUCUAUAUUAUGAGGUUGAUUUUUAAGAGAACUUGCUUGGUUGUUUGUGUUAGAGUUGUAAAUUAGCUGCCUUAUUUAAUUGAUUUUAGCAAACAUUACCAGCAGUGUUAUUGAGGCAUGUAUUUCCAUGUAUAUUUUGUGUAUGUUUCAUCAGAAUCAAAUAAUUAUAAAUUAAUUUUACCAUUAUUAACAAUACUUUACAUGUUUUUUAGUGUGACACUCUUUUGUAGCAUACAUCCUUAAUUAAAUAUGGAACAUGACAAGAAAAAUAAGUUAGGAUCUAUGGAAAUCCAGCCACACAAUGUUUGUCUGAAAUGUUUGUGAUGUGAUCUUGGUUUUCCUAUUGUUGAAUUAUCUCCCCUACAAAAACUGGUACAAAUCGAAAUCUGUAAAUAGGAUGUCCUGUAUUUCUAUGUGAAUGUAAUCAUUGACUUAUGACUUUUGAUCGAUAUUUAAAAGUUUUGUACAGGAAGUAGCACAGUACAAUAAAUUGAAACUUUGUAGAUUAA
rnacentral:misc_RNA from 1 species